rnacentral:rRNA from 1 species
AUUGAACGCUGGCGGCAGGCCUAACACAUGCAAGUCGAACGAGUGGCGGACGGGUGAGUAAUGUCUGGGAAACUGCCCGAUGGAGGGGGAUAACUACUGGAAACGGUAGCUAAUACCGCAUACCAUCGGCUUUGCCCAGAUCGGAUUAGCUAGUUGGUGGGGGAAAGGCUCACCUAGGCGACGAUCCCUAGCUGGUCUGAGAGUAUGACCAGCCACACUGGAACGGAGACACGGUCCAGACUCCUACGGGAGGCAGCAGUGGGGAAUAUUGCACAAUGGGCGAAAGCCUGAUGCAGCCAUGCCGCGUGUAUGAAGAAGGCCUUCGGGUUGUAAAGUACUUUCAGCGGGGAGGCGUUACCCGCAGAAGAAGCACCGGCUAACUCCGUGCCAGCAGCCGCGGUAAUUC